rnacentral:rRNA from 1 species
UACGUAGGGUGCAAGCGUUAAUCGGAAUUACUGGGCGUAAAGCGCACGUAGGCGGGUCGUUAAGUCAGGGGUGAAAGCCCGGAGCUCAACUCCGGAAUUGCCUUCAAGACUGCAUCGCUUGAAUCAUGGAGAGGUGAGUGGAAUUCCGAGUGUAGAGGUGAAAAUUCGUAGAUAUUCGGAGGAACACCAGUGGCGGAAGGCGGCUCACUGGUCCAUUACUGACGCUGAGGUGCGAAAGCGG